GCCAGGUAGCUCAGUUGGUUAGAGCAUUGUCCUGAUACUACAAGGUUGUGGGUUCAAUUCCCAGUCAGGGCA
rfam:Myotis davidii contig146963, whole genome shotgun sequence.